GGGUGCCGAUAUAAGUAUAAGCCAUAAGGUCAAAUAUUUUUUUUUUCCAAACAGCAGAUGCUUCGCCUUGCUUGUCUUCUGCUUGGCCUGCACUGUUUGACAUUGUACCACCUACAAAGUGAUGAUUAACUCAGUACAGGGACUUAAUACUGAAACCCCAUGUUGACGUACUACCUGAUGAUUGAUAGAAGCGUUUGCUAUCGAAAUAUGCCGUACAAAAUGCUCACCUUUGGUUGUCUUUGCCGAUAGGUGGGGACAGUGUCAUCCUCUUGCCUCUGAAAUGACAACUCCUGUUGUCUCCUGCUUCUGAGGAAGUCUAGAAGACUGGUCUGGUCUAGAAGACCCUCGUGGUGGUCUGUUCGGAUACACAUCACUAGCUGGAAGAGGAUCGUCGAAUGAUGCGUCUGUGUUGAAUGAAUUCCACCCAUUCUGCAACGUCUCGUGGCCAUUGAUCAUCUGAUAUUCAUCCAAGCUGAGUCUAAAUAUUGAGCGAUGGCCCUAAUGGAUGAAAACCGAGCUAAAAUGAAGAUCGAGUCAACGACGGAGUGCUGCAGCUGCAAGGAAAGAAACAAUCAAAGGCUACUGAGGAGUCUGAACGCGUCAUUGAACUGCCUGUGAAUUGUAUCAUCAGUGUCGGUUGAGCAAUAAAUGUGGAACAAAAA